GCACCUAAAUCUUACCCAUUCCUUGCUGCUUCGUGCUGGUGUGGGGACAGAUGGUGCUACAGUAUGAGCAGAGGAAACCCAGACAGUUGUUUUUCAUUUAUCUUGGGGCCUGUCUCUACAGGUCUGCCACAUUU
rnacentral:snoRNA from 1 species